rnacentral:lncRNA from 13 species
ACGAAAAACUCGACCAUCGACAACUUCGUACCGACGCCUCGACGGCCUCGCUACGUCGUCGCCGUCGUUUGCACAUCGCAUGAAUGACGAGAGUCAAUCACGUUUAUUCUUACGGAUUUAAUCUCGACUCAUCGAUGUCCCGAAGAUGACGUUGAAGAUCCCUUGAUGUUUCCCAGGCUUCGCCAUCCUCUCGCGUUUCCCCGUCGCACACUCGCAGGCAACACUCGCGAAAACGCGAUUAAACUAAUCUGCUGUGGGCCCCGUUCAUUCAGUACAAGGUGCCUGAGGCCAGUAAAAAUCGAGAACGCGAUCAAAUCAAUCGUCGUGAUACAACAAUAGCAGUAAACAAUUCCGAAACGAUGUAACGGCCAACAUUUCACACGGCACUUCUUCGAGAAACGUCGCUAACUUCAUACCGACGCUACGGCACGUACGUCGUGUCGUUGGCGAAUCGCGCGAAGGACGAGGAUCAAUCACGUCCAUUAUUAGGGAUACAGAUUCACUUCAAUAACGAUUAGACUUUAUCCUUCCUCCCGCACACGAAAAUGCGUACUUACAACGCACAGCUCGCGCUGAGCGAGCGAGCCGUAGGAUAAACACAAGCGACGGCCGUAGAGGUGACUCGGCCGCCGGCAGUUGCGUAGCCGGCGCGGCGACGAUUGACUCUCGCCAAUUUCGCACAAUUCGUGAAAGUACCCGUCAGUACCCGCGCACGGCGUCGGUAUGAAGUUGUCGAUAUUCAAAUCUAUCGUCGAAGGAGCGUCAUAACGCAUCGGUCAUUUCGUUUCGGCAUUCAAUCGCGAGCGUCGUAUUAUAACAGUGAGUUCGAUUGCGUUUUCGCGAGUCUUCCCUGCUUAUGCACGCGACGAGGAGGUGCGAGACGACAACAAAGCCCGAGAUGCAUCUGAUUCACUGGCAGAAGAAGAUCAUCUUCAGGGCAUCGGCACCCUGUAUUGAAUGAACGGGGCCUAUUGCAGAUUGGUUUGAUCGCGUUUUUGCCUACGAAUGUGCGACGGGAAAACGCGAGACGAAGGAGAAACCUGGGAAAUAUCAAAGGCAUCUUCAAGAUCAUCUUCGGGGCAUCGGAAUAUUUAAUCACAAUUAUCGUAUCAUGAUGAUUGGUUUGAUCGCGUUUUCGCGAGUGUGGCCUGUGAGUUUGUGAUGGGAGAGCGCGAACCGACGACGAAGCCUAAGAGAGGUCAGGGUACUUUAAACGUCAUCUUCGGGGAAUUGAAUCAAUGUAGCUAUGGGGCAGAUAUUACAUCGAUGGAAUUGACAAGCCGAACAGCUUGAGAAGAGGAAGAAAGACUUAGAAGAGGCAUUGGGCACCAGUGGAGCAACUUUACGG